UCAGAGAAGCGGCACUACUAUGCUUCUUCUUCACUGAGCUUGGCUUCAACUCGCCUGAGUUUCGAGCGAUCUCACUCAAAACGGUCCCCCCUCUCCACGUCACCUCUAUUUUCCAACGGAUUUGUCAGAGAGGAGUAUGAUUAUUCCCUCAAAACCGCGGAUUUUUGUACAAAAGAACAAUUUUUGGACGAAUGGAGUCGUGGAUAGAUGCGAAUCAAUCCACACCCUCCAUUUGUCCCAAAAUUGUUCAAAAACUUGAGGGAUUUUCGGAUUUUCUUGGGCAGAUUUUUUAAUAAUCCCAAGUGGCUAUAUAUUGGAGGGUUUUGAAGCUAUCUUCGGCUAUUCUUCUGCUCUUGGUUUUGCUGAGUUCGUCAUUGUUGGUUUCCUCCUUAGCCUUUAUUUGGCAAAGUUUCGAUUUCAUUCAAAUUUAGGUACACAUCUCAUUUCUGUAUUUCUGUUUUUCUGUUUUAAAAUGAAGUGUUAACUCUUCUUUUGAGUCAUUUGAUGAAAAAGUGUAAAAUAGUUGUUUGCUCUAUUUUAAACGUGAAUGGAUGUGAGUUUUGGCUAGUUUAAGGCUGAAAAUCUACUAUGGAUUUGCCUGCUAAGAAUCACUGUAGUAGCCUGUUUCUUUUGCUGAUUGCAUACAUGCACACUUGUCGCAUUUAAAUCAUUCAUAUGGUUCGUUAAAAGCAGCAUGUGAUUUGCUAAAAAAAAUAAGAUGAAGCCUUAUAAAAGUAGAGUGUUGGAGCUGUUGAAUCUUGAUGAGGGGUUUAAAUUGUUUUACUCUCCUUAUCGAGGCAUGGCAGAAUCUGUGUGUAUGUUUUGAGUUGGGUUAAUCACUUCUUCUCCAUUCAUAUGUUACAUGUUUAAAAACAUUCAUAUAUUUGUUUCGCUGCAUCCUUCUUGUCUGAGAUGCUAAUAAUCGCUACUGGGUUUAGGCAAUAACUUGGAACUGUUGAGAAGUUUUGGUUAAUUUGCAGUAUCUUUAUGUUUUAAAAAAAGAAAUGUAGAAAGGUAGGGAGUUUUUCCUUAAUUAGUAGCAAGAAGAUUUAUUUUUGUGUUCUAUUUCUCCCCUCACUUUUCUCCUUAUUUUGUGAAGGUUAGCUUAGUUUGGGUAUCCUUUAAGUUUAGCAACAAUAUUUUGCAUAAUAUUUUAUUAAAUCUUACCUUUGGUUUUGUUUUCCUAAGAAAAUGGCUCAAAUUUGUUAUAUGUAGAAGACGUUCAUGUAUGGACUAGUUGGCUAAUAUUUCUCAAAAAACCAAUUGAAUCAAGUUGGUAAAGUAUGAUUGGUUAACUAAGUAGAGUAUUAGAUAUUGCAUGUCUUCUGCCUUAAGGCAAUAUAUGUUUUCUUAUUUUUGGUACUUGUAUCUUAGAACAAGUGAAGAAUGUGUAUCUCAAUAUCUUGAAUAGGUUCUGCAGAAUAAUAUGCGAACCAUGAUUUGUGGUAUUUAUCAGUAAGGUACCGAUGUUAUUAGCAUUCCGUAUUCGUUUUUUCAAUUGAGUAUUAAAUGUAACAGUGUUACACGAAGUUGAGUAAAAUGCAUCCCAAAGAAAUUCAGCA